CUUUGGGAUAUGUUGGUUCAAGCCUGUAGUCGUGUCUGGUAGGUAAAUCCGCCGGGCUUAGAUGAGGGGUGAUAACGAGGCUGCUUGCAGCCGAAGUGAGUGAUACCCUGCUUCCAGGAAAAGCCACUAAGCUUCAGCUAUACACGACCGUACCGCAAACCGACACUGGUGCGCGAGAUGAGUAUUCUAAGGCGCUUGAGAGAACUCAGGAGAAGGAACUCGGCAAAUUGACACCGUAACUUCGGAAGAAGGUGUGCCUUUAGUAGGUGAACCUGUACAAGGGGAGCCCAAUGAGGUUGCAAAAAAUCGGUUGCUGCGACUGUUUAUUAAAAACACAGCACUCUGCAAACACGAAAGUGGACGUAUAGGGUGUGACGCCUGCCCGGUGCUGGAAGAUUAAAUGAUGGGGUGCAAGCUCUUGAUUGAAGUCCCAGUAAACGGCGGCCGUAACUAUAACGGUCCUAAGGUAGCGAAAUUCCUUGUCGGGUAAGUUCCGACCUGCACGAAUGGCGUAACGAUGGCCACACUGUCUCCUCCUGAGACUCAGCGAAGUUGAAAUGUUUGUGAUGAUGCAAUCUCCCCGCGGAAAGACGGAAAGACCCCAUGAACCUUUACUGUAGCUUUGUAUUGGACUUUGAACAGAUCUGUGUAGGAUAGGUGGGAGGCUUUGAAGCAGGGUCGCUAGAUCUUGUGGAGCCAACGUUGAAAUACCACCCUGGUGUGUUUGAGGUUCUAACCUAGGUCCAUUAUCUGGAUCGGGGACAGUGCAUGGUAGGCAGUUUGACUGGGGCGGUCUCCUCCCAAAGCGUAACGGAGGAGUUCGAAGGUACGCUAGUUACGGUCGGACAUCGUGACGAUAGUGCAAUGGCAUAAGCGUGCUUAACUGCGAGACUGACAAGUCGAGCAGAUGCGAAAGCAGGACAUAGUGAUCCGGUGGUUCUGUAUGGAAGGGCCAUCGCUCAACGGAUAAAAGGUACUCUGGGGAUAACAGGCUGAUACCGCCCAAGAGUUCAUAUCGACGGCGGUGUUUGGCACCUCGAUGUCGGCUCAUCUCAUCCUGGGGCUGUAGCCGGUCCCAAGGGUAUGGCUGUUCGCCAUUUAAAGAGGUACGUGAGCUGGGUUUAAAACGUCGUGAGACAGUUUGGUCCCUAUCUUCCGUGGGCGCUGCAGAUUUGAGGAAGCCUGCUCCUAGUACGAGAGGACCGGAGUGGACAUACCUCUGGUGUAUCGGUUGUCACGCCAGUGGCAUUGCCGAGUAGCUAAGUAUGGAAGAGAUAAACGCUGAAAGCAUCUAAGCGUGAAACUCGUUUCAAGAUGAGAUCUGCCGGGGCCUUGAGCCCCCUAAAGAGUCGUUCAAGACCAGGACGUUGAUAGGUCAGGUGUGGAAGCGCAGUAAUGCGUUAAGCUAACUGAUACUAAUUGCUCGUGCGGCUUGACCCU
rnacentral:rRNA from 1 species